rnacentral:rRNA from 1 species
CAGCCGCCGCGGUAAUACGAGGGGGGCAAGCGUUGUUCGGAAUUAUUGGGCGUAAAGGGCGCGUAGGCGGUUUGACAAGUUUCAUGUGAAAUCUAUGGGCUCAACCCAUAGUCUGCAUGGAGAACUGUCGGGCUUGAGUAUGGGAGAGGUGAGUGGAAUUUCCGGUGUAGCGGUGAAAUGCGUAGAUAUCGGGAGGAACAUCAGUGGCAAAGGCGGCCAUCUGGGACAACACUGACGCUGAAGCACGAAAGCGUGGGGAGCAAACAGGAUUAGAUACCCCUGUAGUCCCUGUCUCUUAUAC